UACGUAGGUGACCAGCGUUGUCCGGAUUUACUGGGCGUAAAGAGCGUGCAGGCGGUCGUUCAAGUCGAGUGUGAAAGCCCCCGGCUCAACUGGGGAGGGUCACUCGAUACUGAUCGACUUGAAGGCAGGAGAGGGAAGCGGAAUUCCCGGUGUAGUGGUGAAAUGCGUAGAUAUCGGGAGGAACACCAGUGGCGAAGGCGACUACCUGGCCUGUUCUUGACGCUGAGGCGCGAAAGCUAGGGGAGCAAACGGG
rnacentral:rRNA from 1 species